AGCAGUAGCCGCGGUAAUACGAAGGGGGCUAGCGUUGUUCGGAAUUACUGGGCGUAAAGCGCACGUAGGCGGACAUUUAAGUCAGGGGUGAAAUCCCGGGGCUCAACCCCGGAACUGCCUUUGAUACUGGGUGUCUAGAGUAUGGAAGAGGUGAGUGGAAUUCCGAGUGUAGAGGUGAAAUUCGUAGAUAUUCGGAGGAACACCAGUGGCGAAGGCGGCUCACUGGUCCAUUACUGACGCUGAGGUGCGAAAGCGUGGGGAGCAAACAGGAUUAGAUACCCGUGUAGUCCCUGUCUCUUAUAC
rnacentral:rRNA from 1 species